GAAUAUUGCAAAAUGGGCGAAAGCCCGAUGCAGCAACGCCGCGUGGGCGAUGAAGGCCUUCGGGUCGUAAAGCCCUUUUUGAGGGGAUGAGGAAGGACAGUACCCUCAGAAUAAGCCUCGGCUAACUACGUGCCAGCAGCCGCGGUAAAACGUAGGAGGCGAGCGUUAUCCGGAUUUACUGGGCGUAAAGCGCGUGCAGGCGGAUUGGAGAGUUGGAUGUGAAAGCUCCCGGCUUAACUGGGAGAGGUCGUUCAAUACUUCCAGUCUUGAGUGCAGUAGAGGGAAGUGGAAUUCCGGGUGUAGUGGUGAAAUGCGUAGAUAUCCGGAGGAACACCAGUGGCGAAAGCGGCUUCCUGGACUGUAACUGACGCUCAGACGCGAAAGCUAGGGUAGCAAACG
rnacentral:rRNA from 1 species